GGUAUUGAUGAUAAUGAGUUGGGUACAUUGAAGGAUAACAUCAAUAAGAUAUGGCAUAAUUUAACUGUAUUUCUCCAGCUCAGUUCAUUGAAGCCCACCGAAGGUUCCUUUGUCUUCAAGUCAGCCAUGCUAAGACCAGAACCUAGUAAUACAUCUCAGGCAUGCGGAGUUUGUCUUUUGAAUGUAGACUCAAGGAGUAAAGCAUUUGAUAGGUCAGAAGAUAGCCACAAGCUCAGCUAUGGAGGAAGGCAAUACCAUGCAACAUGUGCUAACCUAUGGGUUAAUAUGGUAGAUUCUAUCCUCCCUGCUCUACCACUUAACACUUUACUUUAAACACCAUGCAACAUGUGCUAACCUAUGGGUUAAUACAUGUAUGGUAGAUUCUAUCCUCCUUGCUCUACCACUAAACACUUUACUUUAAACACCAUGCAACAUGUGCUAACCUAUGGGUUAACAUGGUAGAUUUUAUCCUUCUUGCUCUACCUUUUAACACUUUGCUAUAAACACCAUGGAACAUGUGCUAACCUAAGGGUUAAGAUGGUACGUUUAUAUGUCGUUUGUAUCCUCCCUUCUCUACCAUUUUAUUCUUCACUUUAGAGGGUACUCAAGGCUGAAAAUAAUAUUAUUUAAAUAGAAGAAUCAGAUAAACAUAAAUCAUCUAGAUCGGACAAGGAAUAACAAAAUUAUAACAUUUUAAAUCUUCUCAUUAUUUUGGUAAAAUAUUUAUAUGUAUUUCUUCAUGAAUAUAUGAGGUGCAAGCUGAUGAUAUAUCCCUGCUUACUUUUUUGUAUUUUAUUAUAUUAUAUUAAUUAUUGAUAUUAUUAAUAGUAAUUUUAUGAUAUGAAAUUAUGUUUAUUCAGAUUUUGCUCACCAAGAAUGAAAACAAAUUUAAUUAAAUACUUAUUUAUUUCAUUAGAUAUUCAUUGCUGCCACUUACUUUGUUGUAAGGGAACAUAUUAUAUUCAUAUGUAUGAAAAUAUGAAAUAAUUAUUUAAUGUAAUAAUAUUAUGACUGUUUUCACAGAAUAUUGUUAAACUUUAACAUUUCAAUUUAAGAUUUUAAUUAAAUAUUCAGCACUUUGCUUGGUUAGUUUUACCUUUUUUACUUUUAUAUAUAUUAUGUAAUUAUUUAUAGCCCAGAUUACCCCCUUUAACCUCCCCCCCCCCCCAAAAAAAAAAAAAAAAAACUAGACCAUUUUGACACAUAAGAAGACUGGGGGAAUGGGGUUGAUUCAGAGAUUCAUGAGGUCCAUGCAGAUACUCCCCUGGGAGGUUUGUGUGUAUGAUUGUUCAAGUCACUUAAAAAAUAGACGUUGAUUUCUUGUAGCUUCUAUUUGAUUGAGCCAAUCACUUAAACAGAAAAGUGUGAAGUUUAGUUAAUCCAAUCUCAUUUUCAUUGGUAAAACCAAUGAUGUGAGGGGCUAUUGCCUCUCUGAUUAAUCCAAUCUCUUCAUUAUUCUCAUGUGCUCAGUAAAGAUUAUUGGAGCUAGCCUGUGUAAAAAAAUAUAGUUCAUUUUGACUGUGUGGAAUUUGUGCAGUGCCCUUGUUUGAUCAGUUACUUUUUGAACCUAGUUUACUUAAUACAAAGCUUGAAUGGAGGUUUCCUGAUGUAUAAUGAAAAAAAGCCUCAUAUCUUUGUGAUUGUUCUACCAUGGGGGUGUUUCAAAAAGAUUUAAGUGACUGUGACUUAGAGUCGCACUUAAAUGCCUAGUUGUGUGCAGUAUAAAAGGCAUAACCGCAUUGGUUAGAUCAUGAGAAGAGGACGCGCACUACUGCGUAUUGAUGAAUUAGACUGCGCGUUGCAUUUCAGAUGCGUGUCGUCAUUUAAGUGCGAUUUAAGUCAUACUUAAAUCUUUAUGAAACACCCCCCCCCCCCAUAUCACAUAAGAUUUCACCCAUUUGUAGAAAAUGAAUUGUAGUUAAUGGGUGUAAAGAUUUAAACAAUAUAAUGUAAUGUUAAUAUUACGCCAAACUGGAGUUAUUUUUGUGGGACACACUUUGGAUGCACUUUAGCAGAAUGUUCUGGCUUGAUUUUCAGAAAUAAAGAAUUACAGAUUUGACCAUUCUUUUUUGGCUGUGUAAACACGUGGGGGUACUUAGUAUAAAUGUGUGAUAUGUAUGUGCCACUGUUGAGAUCCCCAUAUUCAGCCCAAAUUUCCAUUCCAGAGCAUCACCAUUUCAGAAAGCCAUAGAAAUUCCUAUUUUUCCCAUUCCGGAUACCCUGGAAUUUGUAGUUUCUUGUUCCAGUAUGCGCCCAUCAUGAACUACUCAGCCGGUCAUAACAGUGAACCCAAUUGGCGCAGAGCCAUAUGCCGGGCUGCCUGUGCCCGCAGCUAGCGCUAGCCCGAUAUGAACUAGCAAGACUCGAAGGCGUAUUUACACAGCUGCUACUAUAUAUGCGACGCCUACGUUCCGGAGACCCCUUUUAUUGAUAUGGUCAGUUCCAGAGCAUUUUAACGCUAACACUCGUGAUCCAAGAGCCAUUCCGGAGACCCGUGCUUUAACCCUUAUUAAAUGGGGGGUCAAUUUCGACAUAUUUCGUCACUGCGCCACCGCGCGAAUUUUUUUGACAGCGCCGCUUGCUGACUUUUUACUUUCAAGUCUUGUGCAUUUUUUUUUUAGACCAAAUUUGCGAGGCCCGGGUACGCGUUUUUUUUUUAUUAUGCAACAUUUUGUAAGUGCAUGUCAGACCAAAAAUUGCUCAAAAACGUGAUUCCGUGUACAAAGUGCAUGCAAAUAAUGUUUUUCAACCAAAAUUCAUGAAUGUAUGAUUAUUUCUACUUCUGUUGGUUUGAAUGGAUUUAUUUUAUGGUAUUUAUGAUCACAAAAGGGUCCCCGACAAAUUUCAUCGGAAAAAACAAAGAAAUACAGAAGAAUAAAAAAACGAUAAACUCCAUAGGAAAUUAAUUAUGCUUUUGCAAUUUUUUGUAGAUAUUUGUCUGAAAUAUAAAAAUUGAUACUUUCACCAAAAAUUAGCAUUCUACUAGCUAUAUAAAUUGAGUUAAAGGCAAAAACAUACACAAAAAAUUCUGCGGCAAUCGCGCAAUCAGCGGCCGAGACCUAAAGUCUGAAAAAGCCCAGUUAAGGACGUUCCACAGUUAAAGUGAAAUCCAUGUCAUUUUCACCAAACUUUGCACAUAGAUACUUUAGAACCUUAAUAUUCGAAAUAUGCAAAAAUUAACAUAGGUCCAUGUGCUUAAUUUUUUGCUAUAGAGCUUCAAAGUUCACCCAAAUUGAUGUUCUUAAAAAUUGCGCAUUCAAAAGAAUUUGGCAUUUUUAGACCACCCAAGAUUACUACAAUGAGUUUAAACCUCUAUUACUCAGUCAAAAUACAUGAAAAAGUCAUCAAAUUUCGCAAGAGAGUUAAUAAUUGUAUCGUUAGAAUGGAGAAUCUAUUUAUAGUGCUAUUUGUUUGCAAUUUUAAGUUUAACAGCACUGCCAUUUCUUAAAAAUUGCAUAAAAGAUAACAAAAUCCCAAUCUAAAAAAUGUGAAAUUUCAGUUACAAACUACAAACGUACAAUAAAUGCUGCACUUUAUUCAAAAUCCAUGUCAUUUUCACCAAAAUUUGCAGAGUUGUAGAAGAAGGUAUACCUAAGCGUAACAAACAUUAAAAAAUAGGGGUUCAUGUGCUUGUUUUUAAACUAUCAGCAUUUUUAUUAGAGCAAAUGUGCUUUUUAAAACACCAAAAAUGCGCCGAAUGCUUUGUAUCUAUGUGAAGAAAAAAUCAAAACCACUCUACCAUUUAUUCAAACUCGGGGUAAUAUUCGUGAUUCUUGGCAGCACUGCAGAGUAAAGUAUUUUUUAAAUUGUAGAGAAUGUUUUUUUGAAUGGUCCAUGGAAUAAUUCCACUUUAUAGCUUCAUGAAAUAACACAUCGGAUCUGCAGUUAAAGUGCAGAAGAUGAGAAAAAUCAGCUCAUACCCGCAGCUAAUUAAUCACCUGUUCAUCCAUUGUGACGUCAGCGCGCAGAGUGUAAACUAUGCGCAGAUCAUAAUGCGCACAAACAUAACUGUGGAACGUCCUUAAGACCAAGAUUUAGUUCCACAGCCACCAACCCCUGAUUUGGGUGCGGCACAUAGGUAUCAUGUUAUAACCCGAGUAACCCUCCCCCGAUGUUAACAAAUCAGCUGCAUAGAAUUGAAUGUUGAUGAAUUUGCAAUAAGACUAGUAAAUUAUAAUGAUGAAAUGUGAUGUAUUUUGUAAUUUUAGAAAUCAAAGUACUUCUGCUUAAUGCUAAUAGUCAAGUUUGAAAUAAAUGAAGAAAAAAAACUGUUGAGUACAUGUACAUGCAAAUAAAUUGAUGUGUUUACCAUAUUUACUUAAACAUAUUUUGUUGGCUAUCAUACUAUGUAAAUAAGGAAGAUGUAAUAUUGAAUUGCCUAAAUGUUAUACAUGAUCUGAUAUGUUAAUGAGUAUUAAGCAAAACUAAAGCUUUAUAUAUUUGAUGCAUGUAUAUUACCUAUAGAUCCCAAAGUUUCUGUAAGCUAUGUAGCAGUACUGUACUUAUUUGCUUCAACUCAUUUGAAAGUUCUAUUCUUUUCCUUAAUUUUAUUUAGCUUGAUUAUUUGAGUAAAAAAUUGCAGUUAUGUAAAUACCUAAUAGCUAAAUCUUUUAUUGCAAGAAAUUGGAAGUUACAGUACCUCAAAACUUUGGCUGAAACAUUCAGUAAAAUAAACCUUUGCAUCCCAACAGGCCGGGGUGAACAUCUGGUAAUUUUUAAUCUCUAGCCCUAGCAACUGACCAGCCGAUGAAACAAUGCACUAGUGACCCGUACAGCAGCGCGGUGUUUUGGCAUUUCUACAAUGCAUAAUACACAAACAUUGCAUUCAUACUUUGUGCUGAAAACCGUGAUGAUUGAGUUUACCCAUUUCAUUAUCGGGAAGUUUACAAAUCUUUCUGAAAUUUUAAGUGCUGUUUCUGACAUUAUUUGUGUUUCUUAUACUUUGUUUUCAUAGCACUAAGGUCAUUGCUGUCGUCGUUAACUUAAGCAGACGUGACGUCACUCUGCCCAUGCCUAUACUGGAAUUUGUAACAGCAAAGGAUCAGGUUGUUGGUCUUAUGGAAGUUUAUUUUGGCUUUUGCACAGGUCAGUGUUGGAGCCUAUACUCUGAAAUUAAUGACUUACCUGACCCAUCUCACAAAGUAUUUAUCCAAUAUCUGAAUUUUGUUGAGGAAAACCUAAGACAUUGAUGAUCAAAGUGUUCAAGAAGUUUUACAUACAUGAAAUAGAAUGUUCACCCAGAAUUGUGAAAUCGGCGUUGCCCUAUAGCCUCAUCUCUGCCGAGUUGCAGCAUGUUUAAAUCCUUAGGGCAUACUGUCAAUAAUGGAAAAGUUCUGAUCUUGGUUUAGGAAUGACAAGUAUUUUGAGAAAGGGUUCAUGGAAACCAUCUACAUCAGGACUUUGCAACCUAACUUGAACCAUGAUUAACUAUAAACUUCUCAAGAAGUGCAAGACUCUUUGACCCAAUUCUUUGCUGUUUCAUUACAUAACUCCAGUUAGAAAUCAGAAUCUCCCAAACAGCCGACUUUAUCUCCUAUCUAUAACUUAGUUAAAUUAAAAUUGUGAAGAUUUGUCAUAAAAAUGCCUUAAAGGCAAGUCCACCCAAAAAUAUUAAUUUAAUUUGAAUAAAAAGAAAAUCAAAUAAACGUAAUGAUGAAAAUGUCAAUUUCUUUUAAUUUCAUGAAACAGUUAUCCAUUAUUCUGCAUAUGAGGGAACCAAUGAUGUCACCCUCACACAUUUUUAAAAUAAUUUUAUCACAAGAAAUAAAAAAUAUCUUAAUUUUGUUAUUAUAACAUGAAACAGAGUCUGAUUCCUCUCUGAACAUGUGAAAAUGAUGAAGUUGUAAUAUAUUAUUAUUUAAUGAGUUCAUUAUUGAUUCACUAAUUUGGCAUAUGAAUGUGUUGUGCAUGUAAUUUUUUGUGAAAAAAUAAGCAACAAUUUAAAAUAUAACUAUUUUAUUUAUUUCACAUCAAAUUUCAAUUGACUUUUGAGCAUUAGGAUGUCUGAUAUUUCUCUUUUUGUUCAUAUCACUUUUUUCAUGCUAAGAACUUGAUUUGUGACAUACUAUUGUUUGUCAUGAUAUAUAAUUAUCCCUAUGCAAUCUGAUUGUGAUUAGAUCCCUGUAAACACUGUCAAUGCUUUGUACAUAGGUAUAUUUUUCAUGUUUUUAGGGGGGAAAUAAUUUAUCAAUAUGGAAAUAGAUGUAUAUACAUGUAUCUCUGAAGCUUUACUUGUAUAAAAUAUUUGCUCUACACGAUUGUUUUACCUGCGAACUGGCCUUCAACAAAAAAUAAAACAUCCUGGUGAUAUUACAUUUACAAGUAUUUGGUUUAUGACAAUGACUUUGUUGAUGCAUUGAAGGGACAGACCACAGCAAGAAUCUUGAAAUCAAUUGCAAAUCAAGGUCAAGUUCAAAAUUAUUUUGUAAGCCUUGUAAUUGCAGAUUUACCACUCUUCUCUGAUUCGUAACAUAAAUAUCUAAAUUUCACUUAUUGUAACUUCUUGCAAAUGAUCAUUGUAAAGUUGAUUAGAUUCAACAAACACUUUUUAAGAAAUUUGUGGUAAUUAUUGUAUGGAAGUGAGUCCAAACUUCGCGCGUGUCCAUACUUCGCGGACGGUCAUUAUCUAAAAUACUAGCCAAUAUCCUUAAAAUCUGACAUCAUCAACUUGAAAAGCGACCUAAAAUUACCCUUUGGUGUAAGUUUCUUUAGGAUGAGUUCAGUAUUCAUGAAAAUAUUGGCAAAAGAUCGGCAAAUUUGUCACGUUUAGCACCCGUUUUGAAGAAAUCUGAUAUUCUCAACAAGCAUCACGAUAUCACCAUUUUGCAAGCAGAAAUCAUCAAAAACGUGAGUUAAAUGUGGUACUAACCGAUUCUAUAGCACUUUGCCAUCAAUCUGAUAUGAAUAUUUCACUUUUUGAGCUUGAGUUUUUGUUUAAAUGUCCACAAAAACUUUGGUCCGCGAAGUUAGGUCACACUUUUUCUGAACGCUUUUCCAGCACAGAGCGCAUUUGCCGAUCGGAAUAGAAUUUUGAGAUCGCGAUACCGGCGAAUCCCCUUGACCUACUUUACAUUUUCGUCCAUGAUUUUAUAGUUUACGAUCUUGCCACCAAUGUGGUAACUAUUUUUUAAAUUGGUUUUGUAUAAAUUAUGAAUAUUUUGUGAAAAAAUUUAAGCCUGAUGAAUAUUUUUGAAAAGUACGCGAAGUUUGGACACCCCAUCAUACAUGUGGCAUAUCCCCUUUUGCUUUUAAUAGUAUAAAUUGGAAAUUAAAUGAAAGCUUAUGUGCAAUACCUUA